rnacentral:rRNA from 1 species
CGUAGGGUGCAGGCGUUAAUCGGAAUUACUGGGCGUAAAGCGUGCGCAGGCGGUCUACUAAGACAGGUGUGAAAUCCCCGGGCUUAACCUGGGAACUGCGCUUGUAACUGGUAGGCUUGAGUGUGGCAGAGGGGGGUGGAAUUCCACGUGUAGCAGUGAAAUGCGUAGAGAUGUGGAGGAACACCGAUGGCGAAGGCAGCCCCCUGGGCUAACACUGACGCUCAUGCACGAAAGCGUGGGGAGCAAACAGGAUUAGAUACCCUGGUAGUCCACGCCCUAAACUAUGUCAACUGGUUGUCGGGGAAGCAAUUCCUUGGUAACGAAGCUAACGCGUGAAGUUGACCGCCUGGGGAGUACGGCCGCAAGGUUA